UGGGAUGUAACUUAGUUGUUAAGAAUGCUUGCCUUCAAUGCACAAGGUCCUGGGUUUAAUCCCCAGCAUCACAG
rnacentral:tRNA from 1 species